rnacentral:rRNA from 1 species
AGAGUUUGAUCCUGGCUCAGGAUGAACGCUGGCGGCGUGCCUAACACAUGCAAGUCGAACGGGGCGCGCCGAUGGAAACUUUUCGGAGCGGAAAUUGGCGCUGCCUAGUGGCGGACGGGUGAGUAACGCGUGAGCAACCUGCCCUGCACUGGGGGACGAACAGCUGGAAACGGCUGCUAAUACCGCAUAGGCGCACAGCCCCGCAUGGGGCGGUGUGGAAAGUAAUAUGGUGCAGGAUGGGCUCGCGUCUGAUUAGCUUGUUGCGGGGUAACGGCCCACCAAGGCGACGAUCAGUAGCCGGCCUGAGAGGGUGGACGGCCACAUUGGGACUGAGACACGGCCCAGACUCCUACGGGAGGCAGCAGUGGGGGAUAUUGCACAAUGGGGGGAACCCUGAUGCAGCGACGCCGCGUGAGGGACGACGGCCUUCGGGUUGUAAACCUCUUUUAGUAGGGAAGAAGCGAAAGUGACGGUACCUGCAGAAAAAGCACCGGCUAACUACGUG